rnacentral:rRNA from 1 species
GAUGAACGCUGGCGGCGUGCCUAAUACAUGCAAGUCGAGCGAACGGACGAGAAGCUUGCUUCUCUCACGUUAGCGGCGCACGGGUGAGUAACACGUGUAUACCCUCCUUAUAAGACUGGUAUAACUUCGGGAAACCGGAGCUAAUCCCGGAUAAUCUUUUGCACCGCAUGGUUCAAAAGUGAAAGACGGUCUUGCUGUCACUUAUAGAUGGAUCCCCGCUUCAUUAGGUAGUUGUUAAGGUCACGGCUUACCAAGGGAACGAUGCGUAACCGACUGGUGAGGGUGAUAGCCGACACUAGAACGGGACCACGGUCAAGGCUCCUACGGUAGGCAGCAGUAGGGAAUGUGACGCAGUAGGCGAAAGCCUGGCGGAACGACGCCGCGUGAGUGAUGGAGGUCUUCGGAGCGUAAAACUCUGUUACUAGGUAAGAACAGAUGUGUAAGUAACUGAAGACAGCGUGACGGUACCUAAUCAGAAAGCCACGGCUAACUACGUG